rnacentral:rRNA from 1 species
GCAUAUCAAUAAGCGGAGGAAAAGAAACCAACAGGGAUUGCCUUAGUAGCGGCGAGUGAAGCGGCAAAAGCUCAAAUUUGAAAUCUGGCUCUUUCAGAGUCCGAGUUGUAAUUUGAAGAAGGUAUCUUUGGGUCUGGCUCUUGUCUAUGUUUCUUGGAACAGAACGUCACAGAGGGUGAGAAUCCCGUGCGAUGAGAUGAUCCAGGCCUAUGUAAAGUUCCUUCGAAGAGUCGAGUUGUUUGGGAAUGCAGCUCUAAGUGGGUGGUAAAUUCCAUCUAAAGCUAAAUAUUGGCGAGAGACCGAUAGCGAACAAGUACAGUGAUGGAAAGAUGAAAAGAACUUUGAAAAGAGAGUGAAAAAGUACGUGAAAUUGUUGAAAGGGAAGGGCUUGAGAUCAGACUUGGUAUUUUGUAUGUUACUUCUUCGGGGGUGGCCUCUACAGUUUAUCGGGCCAGCAUCAGUUUGGGCGGUAGGAGAAUUGCGUUGGAAUGUGGCACGGCUUCGGUUGUGUGUUAUAGCCUUCGUCGAUACUGCCAGCCUAGACUGAGGACUGCGGUUUAUACCUAGGAUGUUGGCAUAAUGAUCUUAAGUCNCCCGUCUUGAAACACGGACC